UACAGAGGUCUCAAGCGUUGUUCGGAUUCAUUGGGCGUAAAGGGUGUGUAGGUGGCGCCGUAAGUCGGGUGUGAAAUUUCGGAGCUUAACUCCGAAACUGCAUUCGAUACUGCGGUGCUUGAGGACUGGAGAGGAGACUGGAAUUCAUGGUGUAGCAGUGAAAUGCGUAGAGAUCAUGAGGAAGACCAGUGGCGAAGGCGGGUCUCUGGGAC
rnacentral:rRNA from 1 species